GCGGCUGGCUGGGUGCAGAGUCCCUGGGAAGCCGCUCCUCACACCUGUCCCCGCACCCGUCUCUCCCAGGCGCAGCUGGGUCCUGACAGCCUGGGCUGCUUCACGCAGGCCCACAUCGACGUCCCUUGGAAACACCUGGUACGCACGGGUCGGGCCCCGCUGCCUGAUGCCCAGAACCUUCCAGCACCAGGGGCCCGGGAGGGGAGGUCAGUCUGUGGCCCGACUCCGCCUCUCUGCACAGCCCCAGUGGGUCGACGGUUCCUGAGACGCUGUGAAAACACCCUCAGGUCAUGUCAAUGCUUGGAGGCCUCCAGGGUGACGUCGGCGGCAUCAUGCUGGACUGGGAGGAGAGCCUGCUGAGUCCCGGCUCUGCCCGCCCCUCGCCCCCUCCAGACAUUGGCACUGCCUGUGUGUGCCCAGCAGCCCGUGUGCAGUGCAGCCCCGAAGCCUCAGGGCUGACAGCCACUUGCUCCUCCUCCAGCCACCCUCCCCCAGUCACCCCAGCCCAGGUCUGGCAAGGGCUCCAGGCUCAGCCCCCAGCAGGUGUCAGGUGCUGACACGGAUGGAGCCUCUGGGACUUCUGGGGCCUGGGGUGCGGGCAGAACAGCAGGCCUUUCCAUCAGUGGGUCUCCCAAGGCAGGGAGGCCUCAGGAAGGCUCGGACUUGCGGAGCAAAGCCCCCCGUGACCCCGAGCGCCCUCAUCCUGCAGGAAUCCACUCCCCUGCACCAUUAUGUGCACCCAGAAGUUGGGUGCCCAAUCAGGAAUGGCAGUGGCCCCAUGGUGGUGACUGAGAAAGUAGAGAUCCAGGUGCGGCCAGAGCCCCAGCCCCAGCCUAAGACGCAACCCCAACCCGAGCCCCAGGCCCGGGCCCAGCCCCAGCCUGGGGGAGACAUCCAGGAGCAGGUGUGGCAGUUGGUAAACAAGCUGGGAGAGAGGCUGGUGCUGGAAGGGCUGGACUGGGUUAAGGAGAAGCUGACGGGCCACAAGUGAAGUGGGAAGUUGCUGAGUCCGCUGCUCGGACCCUGCCGCUGGCUGGGCGCCCGGCUCCCGC